rnacentral:rRNA from 1 species
CAGAACUUUCAGAGAUGGAUUGGUGCCUUCGGGAACUCUGAGACAGGUGCUGCAUGGCUGUCGUCAGCUCGUGUUGUGAAAUGUUGGGUUAAGUCCCGCAACGAGCGCAACCCUUAUCCUUUGUUGCCAGCGGUUCGGCCGGGAACUCAAAGGAGACUGCCAGUGAUAAACUGGAGGAAGGUGGGGAUGACGUCAAGUCAUCAUGGCCCUUACGAGUAGGGCUACACACGUGCUACAAUGGCGCAUACAAAGAGAAGCGACCUCGCGAGAGCAAGCGGACCUCAUAAAGUGCGUCGUAGUCCGGAUUGGAGUCUGCAACUCGACUCCAUGAAGUCGGAAUCGCUAGUAAUCGUAGAUCAGAAUGCUACGGUGAAUACGUUCCCGGGUCUUGUACACACCGA